rnacentral:lncRNA from 1 species
UGGAUUUGCUCGUGGGUUGAGUGAUGGGCUUCCCAAGUUCAUCAAAGCUGAGGGUGCUGCUGGGUAAGUAAAUCUGCCAGCCAACUUAAAAACUUAAUGAUUUUCUUUUCUUACCCUGAUCCUAUGCCCUAACUUUUAUUUGUUAAUAAUGCCAGGCUCUACAAGGGCAUUGUUCCGCUCUGGGGUCGCCAGAUUCCUUGUAAGUGCUGUCUCUUAUCAUUCUGUUAUACUCUUUUAAUAUGAAUAGUCACUCCUAUGAUUGUUUCACAAAUGUGGCCUGCUUUGGUACCACCAAAUGCUCAAAAGCUGGUCUCCUGUUUCAUCUGAUUGGCACUGUUGUGUUUUCUUUGAUAUGCCAAUUGGUGAUGUUUUGUAGAGUAACUUUCUCUUCUCCUGUAUGAGCAUUCUUCUAUCCUAUUGAUGGCCAACCAUGCUGAUGCUAUUCUAUAUUCGUUUUACCAUUUCUAUUUGUUGCUUAGCUUAUGGGCAUUAUUCAUUGACUCCUUAGAGUCAUUCACUCCACAGUUGUGAUGGUAGUUUUUAGCUGAAACUCCAAAAUUCACUUCUCUCGCAAAAAAAUAAAUAUGGACAUUACUGUAUGCCUGUAUCUAGUCUGAUAUCUACUGAACUUGACAACUUUUGUCUAUUGUAAAUUGGUUAUGGCAGAACAUUUUGAAUCCACAUGUCUGUUAUAUGUUUGCCAAUUUUGUUUGGAUAUUAUGUUCAUAAAUGACAAGAAAGGGAAUUCCCAUCAAUCUCAAUUCCAUACCUCAUAACAUGAUGAUGUUUGUGUUCCCCUCUCUUAAGGGGUUAUGCUUGGUUACAGUUUGUCUGAAGUCUCGAAGUUUACGCAGACUAAUGUUAGCUGAUGCAGAUUGCAAGUGUCUACUUCCACUUCUAGGAUUGGCCAAUGUUAAUUGAAUAUGACAUAAUGUUUGAAUUUUAUUAGUUGUAGCCUUCUAGUUAUCACAUGUCAUCUAGAUAGAAUUUGAUAGAUGCUGAAUGUAUAAUGCUUUGAACUUCUGUUGUUGUUCAUAUGUUAUGGUGUACUCAUCCAUUGAAUAUUUCCAUGCUUUAUUCAGACACCAUGAUGAAGUUUGCUUCCUUUGAGACCAUUGUUGAGCUUAUCUACAAACACGCUGUUCCUGUUCCCAAGGCCGAGUGCAGCAAGUCUUCCCAGUUGGGUAUCAGCUUUGCUGGUGGCUACAUUGCUGGUGUCUUCUGUGCUAUUGUUUCUCACCCGGCUGACAACCUGGUCUCUUUCCUCAACAAUGCCAAGGGUGCUACAGUGGGUGAUGUAAGCAUGUUUCUAUCUAGUUUAUCUUUGAGAUUUUCUAUCCUCUUCUUAACUACUGGACUAUUUGCUGACUUCAUGUUAUUAUUAAACCUUCGUAGGCUGUUAAGAAGAUUGGCAUGUUGGGCCUUUUCACCAGAGGACUUCCCCUUCGCAUCGUCAUGAUCGGUACUCUUACCGGUGCUCAGUGGGGAAUCUAUGACGCCUUCAAGGUCAUGGUGGGACUGUAAGUAUCUCAUCCUCUAUGCAAAUUCAUCUGGUAAACAACUUCUGAGGAAGUAGUAACAAUUGGUAAUCCAUUUUCUUCCAGCCCGACCACCGGCGGUGCUCCACCAGUUGCUCCGGUAGAGGAAGCAGCGAAAGCCAUCGCUUGAUUGAUUUUUCCUACUAUGACGAUGACGAUGUAUUCCGGGAUGAUGGGGUAUUGGUGGAUGGGGACUGUAUCAAUUACUUGAGUUUAGCACCCGAAAUCUUUUGUUAUUGUAGCAGAUGGUUAUUGUGUCAUCAUUUUGAUGAGAGGAACUCAUUAAGCAGGCGAAAUAGGCCUUUUUUUGUCCCCGGGAAGUUUGAUGCUUGACAUAAUAAGUUUUAGGACAGCAAGGCUGUUAGAGCGCAGGUUUUGCCAUCACCUGUACUGAGGAAUUCCCAUAUUAUACUCCUGUUUACCUCCAAUUCUAUGCUGUUGAUAUCGUGGCAUGUUCGUUUCUGAACGGGUAGAACGUUUAUUGUUUUACUAGUAGUAGUAGUUAUCUUCUCUUCGUGCUUGCAAAAUCAUUCCUUGGUCUUCUGAGAUAAGUCAUGCAGUACUAUUGUUUUGUUCGGGCAAACAGGUAGACAGAGUAUUAGGCUGGUUGUAAUGGGCAGUAUCAUCAUAUACUACUUCCUCUGUUCCUAAAUAUUUGUCUUUCUAGACAUUUUAAACGGACUACCAUAUAUGGAUGCAUGUAGACAUAUUUUAGAGUGUAGAUUUACUCAUUUUGCUCUGUAUGUAGUCACUUGUUUAAAUAUCUAGAAAGACAAUUAUUUAGGAACGAAGGGAGUACAUCCUUAAUGCAUAGUAUCAUAAGUUGGUAUCAUACUCCCUUCUUUUCGGUUUAUAAGGCUCAAUUCAAAAAUCUCACCAACCAAGAUAAAUGAUAAGUGAUGAAAUAUUUUUUGUAGUUUGCAAAAGCAUUCAAUUAAUGCUUUUGUUUUCCUCAAAAUAUUAUGUUUACAAAUGCAUUAAUUAUAAUGCAUGUAUACAUUGGUCAGUUUUCUCUUAAUACUUGCAUGCAAUGAUUUAAUGUAUCUUGAAGUCUAAGCAUGUGAUAGGAAAUAACCAAAUUGAGCCUUAUAAAAUGAAAAAACUAAAAUUUUGAGAUAAGACCUAUAAACCGGAAAGGAGGAAGUAGAGGACUACAUUUAUUGCCAUGCAUGACACAAAGUAGCACAUCAUUUAAUAUGUGACGGUAUCAUAAUAUGAUACUCAAACCUCUCUUUCUUCAUUUAUUUCUAUGCCAUUUCAUCAAACUUGCUUAGUUGGCAUGCAUGAUACUACCUACGAUACUUCCAUUACGAGCAGCCUUAUCGACAGGUGGUACACGUCAACAGUUAUUGCUGUUUGUGUAAUGAUGCCUUUAGGAAGACACGCCAGCUGAUUUUAAAUUCAUAUCUGAUUAUCAGGUCUUUCUACCAGGUUAUAUUGCCAACAUACUAAUCUCACAAGCAAUUCUGGAAGUCUUGUUUGAAAGUAUGAUUAUCUUUAGCUUUAGGGCCCAGGAUUCAUAAUAACUCAAAAACAGAGGAAAAAAUAUACAUAGAAAUAUUAUAGCCUUGCAUGUGCAUUAUAGAGGGAUUGGUGGAAACGCAUUAAUUUACACAUUUUUUUUUGUGGGGGUUCAAAAGGAGUUCUAUUCUUCCAUCGUGAGGCAACAUUUUCUCUAUACAUAGGAAUUGAAAAAACAAAGGAAUACUAAUGCUGUUAAACAACAUUUUUAAUUUCCGGACCACCUGUUUUUUGGGACUGAUCCGAACGAUCCUAGUGGCGUCCAAUCUACAUCUAGCGGCCAUGGAUCGUCCUGUGCAUUGAUCUAGAUGAAGAAAAUUGCGACCACGAACCCAAGUCGCUAGCGCGAGCACAGGAUACUGACCAACUCGGCUAGGUAGGUCUUUUUGUGCAGCUAUGUUUUUUUUGCCUCCUUUGUCUCAGUUUUCUUGCUCCCCUGGUCUCUACAUUGUCUCAAUUUUUNNNNNNNNNNNNNNNNNNNNNNNNNNNNNNNNNNNNNNNNNNNNNNNNNNNNNNNNNNNNNNNNNNNNNNNNNNNNNNNNNNNNNNNNNNNNNNNNNNNNNNNNNNNNNNNNNNNNNNNNNNNNNNNNNNNNNNNNNNNNNNNNNNNNNNNNNNNNNNNNNNNNNNNNNNNNNNNNNNNNNNNNNNNNNNNNNNNNNNNNNNNNNNNNNNNNNNNNNNNNNNNNNNNNNNNNNNNNNNNNNNNNNNNNNNNNNNNNNNNNNNNNNNNNNNNNNNNNNNNNNNNNNNNNNNNNNNNNNNNNNNNNNNNNNNNNNNNNNNNNNNNNNNNNNNNNNNNNNNNNNNNNNNNNNNNNNNNNNNNNNNNNNNNNNNNNNNNNNNNNNNNNNNNNNNNNNNNNNNNNNNNNNNNNNNNNNNNNNNNNNNNNNNNNNNNNNNNNNNNNNNNNNNNNNNUCUCUCAGCAUACAGGUCAAAAAAGAUUAUUCGUUUAGAGGAGAGAAAAGAGGUGUAACAUGGGAAUUCAAACACAUCACCUCGUUGUAUAGGAUCAACCAACCCCGAUAACCAAAUCAAUCUAUUUAAGCUGGUUUUUCUACUGUAUCAGAAUCUAAUUUUCUUUCUUUCUUUUCAUUGGGUUUCCUGGAGUUUCAUCGGUGUUCUAGUUCAUGUGAUGGAAGUAGGCAUCUUCACGAACACCCCUAAGAGUGGUGUAGGCAAUUUUGGUGGUGGGACCAAUGAAGCCUUUACAUGAGAUGCAGCCAAAGACCUGAUAAUUUACGGUUUUGAAUGAAUAACUUCUGUACAAACAACAUGAUAAUUUUACACAUCACAGAAUUGAUAAAUUAGGCACAAAUAUUGUGGUAACUUUGACUCGGAGAAAAAUGUUGAAAUAUGUUUCGUUAACUUUUGAAAUACCAUGGUAAUAUACGAACCACGAACUUGAUAAAUUAGUACAAACACCGAUGUAGCACUGACCAGGAAAGAACAAGUUGUUAAAAAACAUAAUCCAGUAACUUAAGUAUAAAAUAACACGGUAAUAUAUGAACCACGUACUUGAUAACUUAUGUACGAACACCAUGCUAACUUGCUCGGGAAAAAAUAGUUGAUGAAAAAUAUACCCCGGUAACUUAUGUAUAAAUAGCAUGGUAAGUACGAAGCGCAGACUUGAUAACUUACGCGUAAACACCGUGGUAAGUUUGACCAGGGAAAAAGUUGUUGAAAAACAUAACCCUGGUAACUAGCAUGGUAAUAUAGCCCCUCAGAACGUUGCUGAUAACCCACGCACAAACACCGCAAUAGUUUUUGCCCCGGGAAAAAGAUGCUGAAAACAAAACUCCCGAUAACUUCUUUGUAAAGAGCAUGGUAAUUCAUGCAUCACAUCCUUGGCCGAGUAAUCACUGCUGGCCCAUUAACUGGUGGGCAAAGAAAGGUCGAUUAUUUGGCCCAUAACCCCUCCUAGCCCGCUCAUGCUCCUAAAUAGUUAGGGUUUGGCCCUCUUCCCACCCCCUCCCGCUCCUCUCAUCCCCUCCCGACCUAGAUUGCGUGGCCAGGUUCACGUUGGCGCUUCGUCCCUUCCCUUCCUCCCCUAUGUGUCGCCGCUUCAUGUGCUCCCUCUAUGCGCUGCUACUUCGCCUCCUCCUUUGCGACCUGCCACCACCCUCUACGUGUCGCCGUCGCGCGGCCGCCGUCUCUCGGAGUUGUGGUCCAGGCGUAAAUUAGCAAAAGAUGUUGAUGUAUACAUGUUUGUUGAUGAUUGUUGUCAUAUACAUGUGCAUGAUCUAUUGAGAAAAUAAAACGGUGCCAUUUGCUUCAUAUGUGCAAUGUAGAAUUUUUAUAGCAUUCAAGGAGUAGGGCAUUUUGGAGACCGAGCUCCAUGGAGCCAUUUAUUUUAAAAAAUUCAAAAUUCAAAAAUUUCGGUUUAAAAAAUUCUGAAAAAUUAGACAUGUAUGCAAGGAUGUAAAGUGUAUGUGUGAAAUUUUUAAGGAUGAAAUACCUUGAAUUGCAAGCUUCACAAAAAAAAUCAUAGACUUUAAAGAUGAACAGUACAUAUGCUAAAAAGCCUCAGAUUUGUCUUUUUUGUGUAGCUCACAUUUUAUUGUAUUUCGAACUAAAAAUUUGCACACGUGUACAUUAUAUAUCUAGGUAUAUGUGUAUUUAUUUUCAGAAUUUUCUGAAACUGAAAAGUUUGAAUUUUGAAGUUUUCAAAUAAAGGCCUCCAUGGAGCUCGGUCUCCGUUUGGCAUUUUCAUAUUGUCUCUAUACAAAAAUUGUGCCUAUUGAGUUUAAAAUUCCAUCAAUUAACAGUCGACCGAUUAAUCCAGUUAACAGGCCGAUUUACCGAUUAAUCUCCAUUCCCAAGCUGAGCGAGCAGCUACCAGUUAACGAUUUCCUCAGCAUUGAUUAUGCGUAUGUAUGAGCGUCUAUGUCCGUACUGCCUUCAAAAAGGGAACUUUGACUGGGGGCGGGGAGGGGGCGGAAUUGUUGAAAAACAUACCUGAUAACUUAUGGGUAAAUUAUGAUAUGCAUGAACAACGAACCUGAUAAGUUACAUAUAAAUACCAUGAUAACUUUGACGGAUGAAAAAAGUUGUUGAAACAUAUGUCGGUAACUUUAGUGAACACCAUGAUCAGAGUGGUAACUUUUGAACCAAAAAAAGUCAUCGGAACAUAUCAACAUGAUAUCUAGUUUUGAAGAUAUGUCAAAACGGGUUUUGAAUCGAACCAAUGGUUUGAGCUACAAAAUAUUUUGAAUAUUCAAAUAGGAAAAAAUGUUUGAUGACAUCAUGAAAUCUGUCUUUUCCUACAUGCAUGUAAUUAGUUACUCUAAUAAGGAAGGAAUGUCACGCAUAUUUAUGAGAAAGUAGAAUAAGGUGAAGGCAUACUCGUCUGGUUAUGUUCCUAAUUUCCGAAUGAUCAAACGUUAUCACAGUUCAAAGUUAAAACAUAUGCAAAGGUGUACAUAAAUUGAGUGAAUUGUAAUGUCUCCUUGUUUUUUUCCUAUGAAACUCAAACCAAAGGAUGUUACCAUAGUGAAAUUUCCGGCUUAGAUCAGCUGGACUUUGGUAGCCUGACUUUUGCCUCUGUCAACUGUCAGAUGAAGAAUGAACAAUCUAGAUUCACACAUUUCAUUUAAUCUGAUUUCACACGUUUCACACAACAAUCUUGCUAAGUCUUAGACUGAGACUUGGUUAUGUCUCAGUCGGUGCUAUAUUUGUAAGAUCAAACCUUCGUAUUCAUGCAAAAUUUUCUUUUUAGAUUUUUUUCUUUCUUUCUUACAUGAUACGUCAUUUGACCGAGACUUGGUUACAUCUCUGUCGACUGGGACCUAGCCGCACCCUUCACAUUAUUAGUGUUGGUGUAUAAAUAAUGUAAUUAGAGAACUCUGUAGGGUCUAAAAUGUAAAGUGUACAAACAAAAUAUAACUCAGAACGGAGAGACUGGAUCGGUGAGGAAUGCUCCAGAAUUCCCCCAAAUCCUCUUCGUGCCAUCUCCAAUCCCUAGCCCAAAUCUUACAAAUCCCACAUGAUUUUCAUCAUGGCAUCAGGGCAGGUUAAUCUGAUGUGAUUUUGAUCUUGAUGGCGGCUGAUUGAGGCGCUGUGUCGCCGUGAUUUCUGGCUGUGGGUGUUGGUUGCUGCGCACCCAUCUCCGUCGUACGCCGGCGGCCGCUGUUCUCUCGAAGCUGCGGAAGGAGCACCGCGACCGGCGUACUGUUGCCUGCCGCAUCGCCGACCACCGUCUGGUGCGGCUGCGCUGGAUGCUGUAUGCUUGGGCUGGUCCAUCAGGAAAUUACUUGGUGAUGCUGCGUCGCCCAUGUCCAAGCAGUAAGCUAGCUUGCUAGGUGUCCGAUUGAUUGCAAGGCUAGCUGAUUGAUAGUGGUGCGUGCAUUUGGUGCUUCUCCUGGUCUAGUCCCGUGAGAUUUGGUCAGGCGUGCAUACAAGUACAGUUCACUUUUCUUUGUCACUGCAUUUGGUCAUAUGUGUGAGAAGAAAAUAGUGUGUGCGCCUUCCUCUGGACAAUUGUGAUUAGUGCCGCUGGAAAGCUCGUAUUGCUGGGUGUCCGGAUUAAAAUACUCUGCUCGUGCCUGUGUGCAUUUGAGAGCAACUCGUAGAAGUACAUCUACUUGCCAUCAACAUUUUGUACUAGUGUACUGUUGCUAGCGGAGUGCUGCAAAAUCAAGUCAUGUGUGACUAGCUCCUGGUUGGGUUGUAGUGAGUCAUGGAAGAUCCAACCAAGGAGAAAUCAGGGGAUUCUAGUGUGGAUAAGUUGUAUGAGAUUUUAAGCAAAGUAUUUGAGCAGCAACAGCAACAACUCAAAGUGGUUCCUGAAGCAAUCAAGUAUGCACUUGAGCCUAAUCCAGUAAAGUUGGGUGGACCGAGCAAUUACAUCAGCUGGGCGCGUCAUGCCCAGUUAAUUCUGAAUUCUCAUGGCUAUGAAGAAUUGCUUAGUGCUGAUGAAGAGAAACUGAAAAGUGGCACUAGCACAAAACAAAUUAAUGAUAGAGUGUUGGUCUGGUUAUUAGGAAGCAUGGAACCACCUAUUCGAGAACAAGUUGAGACUAUGACUACUAUAUUUGAAGUGUGGAAAGCUUUGGAGAAGCAAUUUUCAGGAAAGUCAAAUAAGAUGCAGGCUACUCGCAUCAUGCAUGAGUUGACUAACUUGAAGCAAGGCUCGAAAUCAGUGACUGAGUAUGCAGGUGAGAUGAAGAGACUGUACAGGGAGUUGCAUUAUUACCACCCUUUUGAGCCUGUUGAUAAGAAUGACAUGACUGUUCACCAUACCUGGUUUGAACCGUUUGUGGGCAAGCUCUUCCUCGAUGGCCUAAAUCAGGAGUUUGAUCUCCGUCGCCAGCUUAUAUUCUCCAAGACUGAAUGGCUAAGCCUUGACGAUAUCAUUUCCAGUGUGAUUGAGGAGGAGACUCGUCUUGCUCAACCCAAGGAGCAUGGUCAAGAAAAAUCAGAUGCACGUGCAGCCCUAUCCAUACAAGCUCGUCGUGCUCCUAAGUCCUUUCGUAAAAUAGAUAAAAGCAAACUUUUUUGCAACCAUUGCAAAAGGCCUGGACACACAAAGGAUGCAUGUUUUGAACUGCAUGGCUAUCCAACUUGGUGGGAAAAAGGAAAGUCUCAGCCAGGGGGAGGUCAGGGAGCUCAUAAAAGACAAGCUAACCUCACUACAUCCAAGGGGGGGCUACCGGUGGUAGAUGUGCAAGCUCUUGAGGAUUUCACCUCCAAGCUUAGUCUCUCAGAAGACUUGUCUUCCUCCCAGGAUUCCUCUACAGUUGAAUCUAGUUUCCAUGCUACUUCACACAAAGGUAUGACACCUCACCAGGCGCACAAUGUUACAACACAAUCAAAAUCUUGGAUUAUUGAUACAGGAGCUACAAACCACAUGACAGGAGCUUCAAAUAUAUUCACUUCCUAUACACCUUGUUCAGGUAAGGACAAGGUACGUGUAGCUGAUGGAUCCAUGGCACCUAUCACAGGACGUGGAUCUGUUAGGUGCACCAAGACAUUGUCCUUAUCUCCUGUCUUGCAUGUUCCUAAUUUUCUAGUCAUCCUCUUGUCAGUUAGCUCUAUUAUUAAAUCUCUCAAUUGUAGAGGUUGGUUUGAUCCUACUUGUUGUGCUUUUCAGGAGCUAGGGACAGGGAGACUAUUGGGGACUGGGACCGUGCAUGAUGGACUCUACUAUCUUGAUGAAGGAAGUGAUGAAGUUGCUUUUGCGUUAUGCUUGUCUCCUAGUCAAGAACUACUACUAUACCAUCGCAGGCUUGGGCAUCUCUCUUUUGUUGCACUGUUUCGUAUUUACCCCUCUCUUUUCAAAUUGUGUCCUAGGGAGAUCCUUGCAUGUGAUGCUUGUGAAUUGGCUAAACAUACAAGGGGUUCAUAUCCUAGUAUAGGAUUAAGAAGUGGCAAACCAUUUGAAAUGAUUCACUCAGAUGUUUGGGGACCUUGUGAGGUUCGUUCAAUUUUUGGGCAUCGAUGGUUUGUAACUUUUAUCGAUUGCUUUAGUCGCUACACUUGGCUUUAUCUCCUGAAGCAUAAGAGUGAUGUGUGCUCGGUUUUUAAGGAUUUAUGUGCUCUUAUUAAAAAUCAACAUGGGGCAACUAUUAAAAUCUUACGGUCAGACAAUGGUACGGAAUAUAUUAACCAGGAGUUUGGACAAUUCCUUGCCUCAAACGGCAUUGAACAUCAAAGUACAUGUGUUAACACUCCAGAACAAAAUGGUGUUGUAGAGCGUAAAAAUAGACAUUUGCUUGAGGUUGCACGCUCACUUAUGUUUACCAUGAACGUGCCUAAAUGUCUUUGGGGGGAGGCAAUAAAAACUGCAACAUACUUGAUAAACCGUAUGCCUCUUCGGGUUCUUGGCCAUAAGACCCCUGCUGAGUGUCUUCUUAAAUCUAAUGAUUUUGUAGUUCCUCCAAAGGUCUUUGGGUGUGUUUGCUUUGUGCAUGAUUAUAGGAACUCUGUUGGAAAAUUAGAUCCACGUGCUCUCAAAUGUGUUUUCAUGGGUUAUUCUCCUUCUCAAAAGGGUUACCGGUGUUGGUGUCCUUCGGAGCGCCGGUUUUUUGUGAGCAUGGAUGUGACAUUCCGUGAACAUGAAUCAUAUUAUGGCUCAACCAAUGACACUGGCAUUGCCUUAUCCCCAUCUAAAGUGCAGCGGGAAGGGGAGAGUGGUACUAAAGGAUCUCCAUUAAUCCCUAUUCAUGUUUCCACUUCAAAUGGUUUACCCACUUUAGAUGAUGUUCGAAAUCAAGGGAGGAGACAAAUAGCGAUGGGUGUAAUAAUGGUUCUGAUCAUGGAGACAUACAAGAUGCAUCAGGAGACUCUUCACUUCCUUCACAAGAUGGUGAGCUUGACAUGCAUGAGGACCCAGGUACUAAAAAUUGUUGGAAAUAUGCCCUAGAGGCAAUAAUAAAUUAGUUAUUAUUAUAUUUCCUUGUUCAUGAUAAUCGUUUAUUAUCCAUGCUAGAAUUGUAUUGAUAGGAAACUCAGAUACAUGUGUGGAUACAUAGACAACACCAUGUCCCUAGUAAGCCUCUAGUUGACUAGCUCGUUGAUCAAUAGAUGGUUACGGUUUCCUGACCAUGGACAUUGGAUGUCAUUGAUAACGGGAUCACAUCAUUAGGAGAAUGAUGUGAUGGAUAAGACCCAAUCCUAAGCCUAGCACACGAUCAUGUAGUUCGUAUGCUAAAGCUUUUCUAAUGUCAAGUAUCAUUUCCUUAGACCAUGAGAUUGUGCAACUCCCGGAUACCGUAGGAAUACUUUGGGUGUGCCAAACGUCACAACGUAACUGGGUGACUAUAAAGGUGCACUACGGGUAUCUCCGAAAGUGUCUGUUGGGUUGGCACGAAUCGAGACUGGGAUUUGUCACUCCGUGUGACGGAGAGGUAUCUCUGGGCCCACUCGGUAGGACAUCAUCAUAAUGUGCACAAUGUGAUCAAGGAGUUUAUCACGGGAUGAUCUGUUACGGAACGAGUAAAGAGACUUGCCGGUAACGAGAUUGAACAAGGUAUCGGGAUACCGACGAUCGAAUCUCGGGCAAGUAUUGUAUCGAUAGACAAAGGGAAUUGUAUACGGGAUUGAUUAAGUCCUUGACAUCGUGGUUCAUCCGAUGAGAUCAUCGUGGAACAUGUGGGAGCCAACAUGGGUAUCCAGAUCCCGCUGUUGGUUAUUGACCGGAGAGUCAUCUCGGUCAUGUCUGCAUGUCUCCCGAACCCGUAGGGUCUACACACUUAAGGUUCGGUGACGCUAGGGUUAUAGAGAUAUUAGUAUGCGGUAACCCGAAAGUUGUUCGGGGUCUCGGAUGAGAUCCCGGACGUCACGAGGAGUUCCAGAAUGGUCCGGAGGUAAAGAUUUAUAUAUGGGAAGUCUUGUUUUGGUCGCCGGACAAGUUUUGAGGUCACCGGUAUUGUACCGGGACCACCGGAAGGGUCCCGGGGGUCCACCGGGUGGGGCCACCUGCCCCGGGGGGCCACAUGGGCUGUAGGGGGUGCGCCUUGGCCUAUAUGGGCCAAGGGCACCAGCCCCAAGAGGCCCAUGCGCCAAGAGAAGAGGGAAAGGAAGAGUCAUAAAGGGGGAAGGCACCUCCGAGGUGCCUUGGGGAGGAGGGACUCCUCCCUGGCCGCACCCUUCCUUGGAGGAAGGGCCAAGGCUGCGCCCCCUCUCCCUUGGCCCUAUAUAUAGUGGGGGAAGGGAGGGCAGCAACACCUAAGCCCUGGCGCCUCCCUCUCCCUCCCAUGACACACCUCCCUCCUCCCGCAGCGCUUGGCGAAGCCAUGUUGGAAUCCCGCUACUUCCACCACCACGCCGUCGUGCUGCUGGAUCUCCAUCAACCUCUCCUCCCCCCUUCCUGGAUCAAGAAGGAGGAUACGUCGCUGCUCCGUACGUGUGUUGAACGCGGAGGUGCCGUCCGUUCGGCGCUAGGAUCAUCGGUGAUUUGGAUCACGACGAGUACGACUCCAUCAACCCCAUUCUCUUGAACGCUUCCGCGCGCGAUCUACAAGGGUAUGUAGAUCCACUCUUCCCUCGUUGCUAGAUGACUCCAUAGAUAGAUCUUGGUGACACGUAGGAAAAUUUUGAAUUUAUGCUACGUUCCCCAACAGUGGCAUCAUGAGCUAGGUCUAUGCGUAGUUUCUAUGCACGAGUAGAACACAAAGUAGUUGUGGGCGUUGAUUUUGUUCAAUAUGCUUACCGUUACUAGUCCAAUCUUGAUUCGGUGGCAUUGUGGGAUGAAGCGGCCCGGACCGACCUUACACGUACUCUUACGUGAGACUGGUUCCACCGACUGACAUGCACUAGUUGCAUAAGGUGGCUAGCGGGUGUCUGUCUCUCCCACUUUAGUCGGAUCGGAUUCGAUGAAAAGGAUCCUUAUGAAGGGUAAAUAGCAAUUGGCAUAUCACGUUGUGUUUUUUGCGUAGGUAAGAAAUGUUCUUGCUAGAAACCCAUAGCAGCCACGUAAAACAUGCAAACAACAAUUAGAGGACGUCUAACUUGUUUUUGCAGGGUAUGCUAUGUGAUGUGAUAUGGCCAAAGGAUGUGAUGAAUGAUAUAUGUGAUGUAUGAGAUGAUCAUGUUCUUGUAAUACGAAUCAAGACUUACAUGUCGAUGAGUAUGACAACCGGCAGGAGCCAUAGGAGUUGUCUUUAUUUAUUAUAUGACCUGCGUGUCAUUGAACAACGCCACGUAAUUACUUUACUUUAUUGCUAACCGUUAGCUGUAGUAGUAGAAGUAAUAGUUGGCGAGACAACUUCAUGAAGACACGAUGAUGGAGAUCAUGAUGAUGGAGAUCAUGGUGUCAUGCCGGUGACAACGAUGAUCAUGGAGCCCCGAAGAUGGAGAUCAAAAGGAGCAAAAUGAUAUUGGCCAUAUCAUGUUACUAUUUGAUUGCAUGUGAUGUUUAUCAUGUUUAUACAUCUUAUUUGCUUAGAACGACGGUAGUAAAUAAGAUGAUCCCUCAUUAAAAUUUCAAGAAAGUGUUCCCCCUAACUGUGCACCAUUGCGAAAGUUCGUCGUUUCGAAGCACCACGUGAUGAUCGGGUGUGAUAGAUUCUUACGUUCGAAUACAACGGGUGUUGACAAGCCUAGCAUGCACAGACAUGGCCUCGGAACACAUGCAAAACACUUAGGUUGACUUGACGAGCCUAGCAUGUACAGACAUGACCUCGGAACACAAGAGACCGAAAGGUCGAGCAUGAGUCGUAUGGUGGAUACGAUCAACAUGAAGAUGUUCACCGAUGAUGACUAGUCCGUCUCACGUGAUGAUCGGACACGGCCUAGUUGACUCGGAUCAUGUAAUCACUUAGAUGACUGGAGGGAUGUCUAUCUGAGUGGGAGUUCAUAAGAUGAACUUAAUUAUCUUGAACAUAGUCAAAAGGUCUUCGCAAAUUAUGUUGUAGCUCGCGCUUUAGUUCUACUGUUUAGAUAUGUUCCUAGAGAAAAUUUAGUUGAAAGUUGAUAGUAGCAAUUAUGCGGACUAGGUCCGUAGACUGAGGAUUGUCCUCAUUGCUUCAUAGAAGGCUUAUGUCCUUAAUGCACCGCUCAGUGUGCUGAACCUCGAACGUCGUCUGUGGAUGUUGCGAACAUCUGACAUACACAUUUUGAUAACUACGUGAUAGUUCAGUUAGACGGUUUAGAGUUGAGGCACCGAAGACGUGUUAAAACGUCGCGAAACAUAUGAGAUGUUUCGAGGGCUGAAAUUGGGAUUUCACGCUCAUGCCCACGUCAAGAGGUAUAAGACCUCCGACGAUUUUCUUAGCCUACAAACUAAGGGAGAAAAGCUCAAUUGUUGAACUUGUGCUCAGAUUGUCUGAGUACAACAAUCGCUUGAAUCGAGUGGGAGUUGAUCUUCCAGAUGAAAUAGUGAUGGUUCUCCGAAGUCAUUACCACCAAGCUGCUUGAGCUUCGUGAUGAACUAUAAUAUAUCAGGGACAUAUAUGAUGAUCCUUGAGAUAUUCGCGAUGUUUGACACCACAAAAGUAGAGAUCAAGAUGGAGCAUCAAUUGUUGAUGGUUGGUGAAACCACUAGUUUCAAGAAGGGCAAGGGCAAAAAGGGAUGCUUCAUGAAACGGCAAAUCAGCUGCUGCUCUAGUGAAGAAACCCAAGGUUGAACCCAAACCCGAGACUAAGUGCUUCUGUAAUAAAGGGAACAACCACUGGAGCAGAAUUACCCUAGAUACUUGGUAGAUAAGAAGGCUGGCAAGGUCGAUAAAAGUAUAUUGGAUGUAUUAUGUUAAUGUGUACUUUACUAGUACUCCUAGUAGCACCAGGGUAUUAGAUACCGGUUCGGUUGCUAAGUGUUAGUAACUCGAAAUAAAAGCUACGGAAUAAACGGAGACUAGCUAAAGGUGAGCUAACGAUAUGUGUUGGAAGUGUUUCCAAGGUUGAUAUGAUCAAGCAUCGCACGCUCCCUCUACCAUCGAGAUUGGUAUUAAAACCUAAAUAAUUGUUAUUUGGUGUUUGCGUUGAGCAUAGACAUGAUUGGAUUAUGUCUAUCGCGAUACGGUUAUUCAUUUAAGGAGAAUAAUGGUUACUCUAUUUAUUUGAAUAAUACCUUCAAUGGUCUUACACCUGAAAUGAAUGGUUUAUUGAAUCUCGAUCGUAGUGAUACACAUGUUCAUGCCAAAAGAUAGUAAUGAUAGUACCACCUACUUGUGGCACUGCCACGUAAGUCAUAUCGGUAUAAAACGCAUGAAGAAGCUCCAUGUUGAUGGAUCUUUGGGCUCACUCAUUUUUGAAAAGUUUGAGACAUGCGAACCAUGUCUAUUGGUGUAUAUGCAUGAAGAAACUCCAUGCAAAUGGACCGUUUGGACUCACUUGAUUUUGAAUCACUUGAGACAUGCAAAUCAUACCACAUGGGCAAGAUGACUGAAAGCCUCAUUUUCAGUAAAAUGGAACUAGAAAGCAACUUGUUGGAAGUAAUACAUUUUGAUGUGUGCAGUCCAAUGAGUGCUGAGGCGUGUAGUGGAUAUCGUUAUGUUCUUACUUCACAGAUGAUUUGAGUAGAUGUUGAGUAUAUUUACUUGAUGAAUCACGAGUCUGAAUUAUUGAAAGGUUCAAGUAAUUUCAGGGUGAAGUUGAAAGAUCGUCAUGAGAAGAGGAUAAAAUAUCUAUGAUAUGAUCAUAGAGAUGAGUAUCUGAAUUACGAGUUUGGCAUAGAAUUAAGACAUUGUGGAAAUUGUUUCACAACUAAUACAGCCUGGAACACCAUAGUGUGAUGGUGUGUCCGAACAUCAUAACCGCACCCUAUUGGAUAUGAUGCAUACCAUGAUGUCUCUUAUCGAAUUACCACAAUAGUUUAUGGGUUAGGCAUUAGAGACAACCACAUUCACUUUAAAAGGGGCACCACGUAAUCCCGAUGAGAUGACACCGUAUGAACUAUGGUUUAGGGAAACCUAAGCUGUCAUUUCUUAAAAGUUUGGGGCUGCGACGCUUAUGUGAAAAAGUUUUAGGCUGAUAAGCUCGAACCAAAGCGGAUAAAUGCAUCUUUAUAGGACACCCAAAACAGUUGGGUAUACCUCCUAUCUCAGAACCGAAAGCAAUAAGGGAUUGUUUCUAGAAUCGGGUCCUUUCUCGAGGAAAAGUUUCUCUCGAAAGAAUUGAGUGGGAGGAUGGUGGAGACUUGAUGAUGUUAUUGAACCGUCUCUUCAACUAGUGUGUGGCAGGGCAUAGGAAGUUGUACCUGUGGCACCUACACCAAUUGAAGUGGAAGCUUAUGAUAGUGAUCAUGAAACUUCAGAUCAAGUCACUACCAAACCUCGUGGGAUGACAAGGAUGCGUACUACUUCAGAGUGGUACGUGAUCCUGUCUUGGAAGUCAUGUUGCUAGACAACAGUGAACCUACGAGCCAUGGAGAAGCGAUGGUGGGCCCGAAUUCCGAUAAAUGGCUCGAGGCCAUAAAAUCCGAGAGAGGAUCCAUGUAUGAAAACAAAGUGUAGACUUUGGGAGAACUACUUGAUGGUCGUAAGGCUGUUAGGUACAUAUGGAUUUUAAAAGGAAGACGGACAAUGAUGGUAGGUAUCACCAUUAAGAAAGCUCGACUUGUCGUUAAGAUGUUUUCCGACAAGUUCAAGGAGUUGACUACGAUGAGACUUUCUCACUCGUAGCGAUGCUAAGAGUCUGUUAGAAUUAUAUUAGCAAUUACUGCAUUAUUUAUGAAAUCUUGCAGAUAGGAUGUCAAAAACAUUGUUUCCUCGACGAUUUUCUUGAGGAAAGGUUGUAUGUGAUACAACCGGAAGGUUUUGUCAAUCCUGAAAGAUGCUAAUAAGUAUGCAAAGCUCCAGCAAUCCUUCUAAGGACUGGAGUAAGCAUCUCGGAGUUGAAAUGUAUGCUUUGAUGAGAUGAUCAAAGAUUUUGGGUGUAUACAAAGUUUAUGAGAAACUUGUAUUUCCAAAGAAGUGAGUGGGAGCACUAUAGAAUUUCUGAUGAAUAUAUGUUGUUGACAUAUUGAUGAUCAGAAAUGACGUAGAAUUUCUGGAAAGCAUAUAGGGUUAUUUGGAAAGUGUUUUUCAAUGGAAAGCCUGGAUUAAGCUAUUUGAACAUUGAGCAUCAAGAUCUAUAAGGAUAGAUCAAAACGCUUAAUGGUACUUUCAAAUGAAUACAUACCGUGACAAGAUUUUGAAGGAGUUCAAAAUGGAUCGGCAAAGAAGGAGUUCUUGGCUGUGUUAUAAGGUGUGAAUAUUGAGUAAGACUCGAAACCUGACCACGGCAGAAUAGAGAGAAAGGACGAAGGUCGUCCCCUAUGCUUUAGACGUAGGCUCUACAGUAUGCUAUGUUGUGUACCGCACCUGAAGUGUGCCUUGCCAUGAGUCAGUCAAGGGGUACAAGAGUGAUCCAAGAAUGGAUUACAUGAUAGCGGUCAAAGUUAUCCUUAGUAACUAGUGGACUAAGGAAUUUUCUCGAUUAUGGAGGUGGUAAAAGAGUUCGUCGUAAAGGGUUACGCCGAUGCAAACUUUGACACUAAUCCAGAUUAUUCUGAGUAGUAAACUGGAUUCGUAUAGUAGAACAGUUGUUUGGAAUAGCUCCAAAUAGAACGUGGUAGCUGCAUCUAGGAGAUGACAUAGAGUUUUGUAAAGCACACACGGAUCUAAAAGGUUCAGAUCCGUUGACUAUAACAUCUCUCACAAGCAUAACAUGAUCAAACCCAGAACUCAUCGAGUGUUAAUCACAUGGUAAUGUGAACUAGAUUAUCGACUCUAGUAGACUCUUUGGGUGUUAGUCACAUGGGGAUGUGACCUUGAGUGUUAAUCACAUAUCGAUGUGAACUGGAUUAUUGACUCUAGUGCAAGUGGGAGACUAUUGGAAAUAUGCCCUAGAGGCAAUAAUAAAUUAGUUAUUAUUAUAUUUCCUUGUUCAUGAUAAUCGUUUAUUAUCCAUGCUAGAAUUGUAUUGAUAGGAAACUCAGAUACAUGUGUGGAUACAUAGACAACACCAUGUCCCUAGUAAGCCUCUAGUUGACUAGCUCGUUGAUCAAUAGAUGGUUACGGUUUCCUGACCAUGGACAUUGGAUGUCAUUGAUAACGGGAUCACAUCAUUAGGAGAAUGAUGUGAUGGACAAGACCCAAUCCUAAGCCUAGCACAAGAUCAUGUGGUUCGUAUGCUAAAGCUUUUCUAAUGUCAAGUAUCAUUUCCUUAGACCAUGAGAUUGUGCAACUCCCGGAUACCGUAGGAAUACUUUGGGUGUGCCAAACGUCACAACGUAACUGGGUGACUAUAAAGGUGCACUACGGGUAUCUCCGAAAGUGUCUGUUGGGUUGGCACGAAUCGAGACUGGGAUUUGUCACUCCGUGUGACGGAGAGGUAUCUCCGGGCCCACUCGGUAGGACAUCAUCAUAAUGUGCACAAUGUGAUCAAGGAGUUUAUCACGGGAUGAUCUGUUACAGAACGAGUAAAGAGACUUGCCGGUAACGAGAUUAAACAAGGUAUCGGGAUACCGACGAUCGAAUCUCGGGCAAGUAUUGUACCGAUAGACAAAGGGAAUUGUAUACGGGAUUGAUUAAGUCCUUGACAUCGUGGUUCAUCCGAUGAGAUCAUCGUGGAACAUGUGGGAGCCAACAUGGGUAUCCAGAUCCGCUGUUGGUUAUUGACCGGAGAGUCAUCUCGGUCAUGUCUGCAUGUCUCCCGAACCCGUAGGGUCUACACACUUAAGGUUCGGUGACGCUAGGGUUAUAGAGAUAUUAGUAUGCGGUAACCCGAAAGUUGUUCGGAGUCCCGGAUGAGAUCCGGGACGUCACGAGGAGUUCUAGAAUGGUCCGGAGGUAAAGAUUUAUAUAUGGGAAGUCUUGUUUUGGUCGCCAGACAAGUUUCGGGGUCACCGGUAUUGUACCGGGACCACCGGAAGGGUCCCGGGGGUCCACCGGGUGGGGCCACCUGCCCCGGGGGGCCACAUGGGCUGUAGGGGGUGCACCUUGGCCUAUAUGGGCCAAGGGCACCAGCCCCAAGAGGCCCAUGCGCCAAGAGAAGAGGGAAAGGAAGAGUCCUAAAGGGGGAAGGCACCUCCGAGGUGCCUUGGGGAGGAGGGACUCCUCCCUGGCCGCACCCUUCCUUGGAGGAAGGGCCAAGGCUGCGGCCCCCCUCUCCCUUGGUCCUAUAUAUAGUGGGGGAAGGGAGGGCAGCAACACCUAAGCCCUGGCGCCUCCCUCUCCCUCCCAUGACACACCUCCCUCCUCCCGCAGCGCUUGGCGAAGCCCUGUUGGAAUCCCGCUACUUCCACCACCACGCCGUCGUGCUGCUGGAUCUCCAUCAACCUCUCCUCCCCCUUGCUGGAUCAAGAAGGAGGAGACGUCGCUGCUCCGUACGUGUGUUGAACACGGAGGUGCCGUCCGUUCGGCGCUAGGAUCAUCGGUGAUUUGGAUCACGACGAGUACGACUCCAUCAACCCCGUUCUCUUGAACGCUUCCGCGCGCGAUCUACAAGGGUAUGUAGAUCCACUCCUCCCUCGUUGCUAGAUGACUCCAUAGAUAGAUCUUGGUGACACGUAGGAAAAUUUUGAAUUUAUGCUACGUUCCCCAACAACAAUAACCUCUCUAGUCAUGUUGCUCCUAUUAGCACCAUCAGGCAGAGUGAUAAUCAAUUAUCUAUCCUUGCUCCUGAAAAUGAUCUACCUAUUGCUAUGAGGAAACCUACAAGAAAUGGAAACAUUCCUGGACACCUCAAAGAUUAUAAACAUGAUAUAGCUAAUUUCAUUUCCUAUGAAUAUUGCACUCCACCCUUCAAAAGCUUUAUUGCCUCUUUAGACUCUGUUUCCAUACCAUCAAACUGGAAAAUAGCUAUAGAGGACCCAAACUGGAAGGGAGCAAUGCUUGAUGAGAUGAAAGCCUUGGAGAAGAAUUAGACUUGGGAGCUUGUGGAUCUACCACCAGGUAAGCAACCAGUAGGAUGUAAGUGGGCAUUCACUAUUAAACACACCCCUGAGGGAAAGGUGGAUAGGUAUAAAGCCCGUCUCGUGGCAAAAGGCUACACACAAACAUAUGGAAUCGAUUAUGAAGAGACCUUUGCACCUGUGGCGAAGAUGAAUUCAGUAAGGACACUUAUAUCAUGUGCUGCAAACCUUGAUUGGGAUAUUUACCAGAUGGAUGUGAAGAAUGCUUUCCUUCAUGGUGAUCUCCAAGAAGCAGUAUACAUGCAUAUACCGCCUGGAUUUGAGUGAAGUAAAACUGUUGGAAAGGUAUUGCACCUACAUCGUUCUUUAUAUGGCUUAAAGCAAUCACCACGUGCUUGGUUUGAUCGGUUUAGACAUGCCAUGCUAAAAAGGGGUUAUUUUCAAAGUAAUGCUGACCAUACACUAUUUUAUAAGCAUAUUAAUGGCAAGGUUGCAAUCUUGAUAGUGUAUGUCGAUGACAUUGUGAUUACUGGAGAUGAUUCCAAGGAAGUUGCAGAGCUGAAGUAUCAUCUUGCGCAUGAGUUUGAAGUGAAGGACUUGGGACAAUUAAGAUAUUUUCUUGGUAUAGAGGUCUCACCAGGGUCGAAGGGUAUUUUUCUCUCACAACGAAAAUAUAUCUUGGAUCUGCUCAAGGAAACUGGUAUGCUUGGUUGUCGACCUGCUGCUACACCUAUUGAGCAAAAUCAUCGGUUAUGUAGUGAUGUUGGGACACCAGUGGAUCGAGAGCGCUACCAGAGACUAGUUGGAAAGUUAAUAUAUUUAUCUCAUACCCGUCCAGAUAUUGCCUUUGCUGUGAGUGUAGUUAGCCAAUACAUGCAUGACCCAAAAUCAACUCAUAUGGAGGCUGUAAAUAAGAUCCUACGGUAUCUUAAAGGGUGCCCAGGAAAAGGCCUCUUAUAUACCAAACAAGGGGACUUGCAAGUUGAGUGUUAUACCGAUGCUGAUUGGGCUGGUUCCCUAGAUGAUAGGCGCUCAACAUCUGGUUACUGUGCAUUUGUUGGUGGAAACCUAGUUUCAUGGCGAAGUAAAAAGCAAAGUGUGGUGGCUCGGUCUACCGCAGAAGCUGAGUUUAGAUCUAUGGCUCAUGGCAUAUGUGAGUUAUUAUGGUUGCAGAUCCUCCUAGCAGAGCUGCGGUUGUACAAGUACAAACCUCUGAUGUUGUACUCUGACAACAAAGCUGCCAUUGAUAUUGCAAAUAACCCUGUUCAGUAUGACCGAACCAAGCACAUAGAGAUUGAUCGUCAUUUCAUCAAGGAGAAGCUCGAUAGAGGGAUAAUUUGCCUACCAUAUGUAACUUCAGCCAGUCAAGUAGCAGAUAUACUUACAAAAGGACUCCCGAAAAAAACUUUUUCCAUGUUUUGUACCAAGAUGGGUAUGUACGACAUAUUCUCCCCAUCUUGAGGGGGAGUGUUGGUGUAUAAAUAAUGUAAUUAGAGGACUCCGUAGGGUCUAAAAUGUAAAGUGUACAAACAAAAUAUAACUCAGAACAAAGAGACUGGAUCGGUGAGGAACGCUCCAGAAUUCCCCCAAAUCCUCUUCGUGCCAUCUCCAUCCCUAGCCCAAAUCUUACAAAUCCCACAUGAUUUUCAUCAAUUAGGCAUGCUCUUAUUUUCAAUGUGUUUUAACCGUCACAUGAUCUUAUUUUCUAUUGCUAAAUCCACACAAAUGCCCUUUGUUUCGGUCGUUAUGCGCUCUUGUUUCCACGGGAGAAUCAGAAUCAAACACUACGUAGUUUGAUCUCCCCCCAGACCGGAAUCAUGAGAAGCCACAAGUAUUUUAUAAUGUGUCUGGUCAGCACAAGAUGACGCCGCGCACCAGCAGCAGAUGAAGCUCCCCUCCCCUGAUACGACUCCCCCGCCAGUUCGCCCCGGGUUGUUGGGCACGACGACUGUGCCGAGCCACUGAACCUGCGGGGUUGGGUUGCGCGAACGGACGCCACCACCGCCGGUUACACAAGCCAAGCGUAUCUCGCGUGAGAUCACGGGGGAGGCUGGGGCUGGCCGCCGCGAGAGGAGACGUGCGCGUGCAUCAUGCAUGAGUCAUGCAGCAAGAAACCGGCGCCCGCCAGAACAGUAGCAGCUGGCUGCAUGUAAACGCGUAGGGCGAUAUGGCAUUUUGUUAAAUAAAUUAAUAAAGUACGUAUACGCAAUGGAGAGUGUCGAUGGUACGGACGGGCUCGCACGCUCCUGAUAGCUGGACGAACGAUUGGACGACGCGUUGCAGGCUGUAUUCAAUGCGAGCGUAUGGCUAACAGGCCGAGUACGCCUGCACAAACGCUGGAUUUCUGCGGCGGAGGCGUGUAAAAUAACGUGCAAUUAACGACCGACCAUUAUGCUGUUCCAUUGGCACAGGUCUUUUCGCACGGUACAGAACAAUGUCCGUUAGCUGCGCCACUGUUGAUUAGAUUAUGCUACAGCUCUCUAUUUGUUCACCUGGAUGACUGGUCAACCUUGUGUUUGCUUCUAUUAUUUCUGUCAAGUCCCAUAAACCAGCCCAUCCAGAAAAAAAAAACUACCCACUUCUGUAAAGUGCGCAAUUUUUCCAUCAUAUCACGCUCUCGAUCAAGGUCUAUCUGCUAAAAAGAUUUCCUUUUACUUGGCUUGCUCCAAUGGUCUUUGCUUCGAUUUUAAACCGCUUGUUUAUUUCGAAAAGGUAUAGAGAGAUUUUUUUUUCAAACAACCAAAUAAUUAAAAAAAAUCUAUGUGUUCAACGUCUCAUGCAAAUGCUAUCUACCAAUUUGUAGGGAAAAAGACUAAACAUUUUUUCGCGGGGAAAAAAAGAACACCAACUAUCAUCACAAAAUGUCACACUAAAAUUGUUUUCUUCACCACAAAACACUAGUGCUUCAUUUUGCAUGAGAAAAAUUUAUCGAUGCUUGAACCACUAACACGGAAAUCUAUAAAAAUAAGUCGGAAUUUAUUGAAACCAUUUAGACCAUUUUUCCACCAAGUAACACGUGAGCCAAAACGCCAUAAGCAAGGGAUUUGCUCGGUCUGUGCCGCCGCGUUGUCACGUUCCUACAGAAACACUUACGGCCGCCUUGUAAUCUUUUUUUACCCGUGUUGACAUACUGUAUCUGCUAAAAACAAUCUUCCUGACUAAAUUGAAAACAUGGCCACUAAUACGCUGGCAGUAGUUGAUACACUAUUGAACUUCAACCAAACACUCCCUCAAACGGCCCCUCGUAUGAGUAUAAAAUUAAAAAUUAAAAAUGAUGUUCUCAAACCGGCCGUUGGUGGGUCCCAAAUGUUUUCUUAAACUCUGAUGUUCCCUUGAUCACCCUGACCGUAGAAUAGUCAAUGCAUGCCUCCGUGCCGCGGCCGACUCCAUACUCCGGUACACAUUGUUCCAUACAUAUUGAUGUAGAACAGUGAACAAACGGCCUGCAGGAAACAGUAACGUCCACGACCUCCAUCGGUGUCUCCUGCUGUCGCGUACGUGCAUUAAAUAUCCCUUGUACGCCAUCUGUACUACCACACACGUCUCGUAUCUAUAUGCGAACGAACGCUUGCCGAUACCGUGAGCGCGCGAGCUCGUCCACGCCAACGGAUUUUCGUACGCAAAGGCUCUUGCGUGCGUCGUAGGUGUCACCGAUCGGGAGAUAAUGUAUUUGGCAUGUGAAGAAGGAAGGGCAUCGGCCGGCCGGCCCUGCCUCGCCUUCAACCGGCAAUCAUGAUUCAUGAAGAUCGAUUUGAUUUAUCUCCCCAAGGCCCAGAACCAGAAGUUUGACGUAUUAAAAAUGAUGAACGAACGGACGUAAACAAAGCAUGGUAGCGAGUCUAAAAUGUGAUGAUACAUUUGUGCUUUGGUCCGGCUUAAGGAAACCCAACAAAAAAA